AACGGCGCCUUUAAGAGGGAGCGUUGGUUACCCUGGGGGCGGGAACCCCUCGGCAGAUCGCGGGGCGGCGGCGCUCGUCCGCGAUGCUGCACACUUUCUGCUCCCGCUCCGCCGCCGCCGCCGCCGCCUCCUCGCCGCCCUCCUCCUCCUCAGCCUGGAAGCGUUGUUCUCUGCGGCGGAGGAGAGAAGUGCUAUGUCAGGAAAGUUCCGGGAGGGACUGCGCGGGGCCAUGCUCCGCGGGCUCGUCUGCGGGCGCCCGCGCGCCGCCCUUUGUACGAGGUACAGAGAGAUGCACAAAUCACAAGGGCAUAGCUCAAUGAAAUUUUAGAAAAUGAAUACAUGAACCUCCCAGAAGCCCUUUCCUAGACAUUGCUCCUACUCUUGCCAAAGGCAAAAGGACUCCUGUGGAAGAUGGAACUCAUUGUCCAUUUUCCAGAAUGUGUUUCCAAGCCCAUCAAUGGAACCUGAUACUGCUCUGCUGUGUUGAAAAGCUUGAAGAACGCCUGCAUCUCUGCCUGCAUCUUCCAUCCUGCCGAAACCAUGGUCUUCUCAGCAGUGCUGACUGCGUCCCACACUGGGGCAUCCAACACGACGUUUGUAGUCUUUGAAAACACCUACAUGAAUAUUACUGUCCCUCCAGCAUUCCAGCAUCCCAACAUCAGUCCGCUGCUUCGAUAUAGUUUUGAAACCAUGGCUCCCACUGGUUUGAGUUCCUUGACAGCGAAUAGCACAGCUAUGACCCCAACACCAGCAGUUUUUAAGAGCCUAAACCUCCCCCUCCAGAUCAUCCUUUCUGCUAUAAUGAUAUUUAUUCUGUUUGUGUCUUUUCUUGGGAACUUGGUAGUUUGCCUCAUGGUUUACCAAAAAGCUGCCAUGCGAUCUGCAAUUAACAUCCUCCUUGCCAGCCUGGCUUUUGCAGACAUGUUGCUUGCAUUGCUGAACAUGCCCUUUGCCCUCGUAACUAUUCUUACUACCAGAUGGAUUUUUGGGAAAUUCUUCUGUAGAGUAUCUGCUAUGUUUUUCUGGUUGUUUGUGAUAGAGGGAGUAGCCAUCCUGCUCAUCAUUAGCAUCGAUAGGUUUCUUAUUAUAGUCCAGAGGCAGGAUAAGCUAAAUCCAUAUAGGGCUAAGGUUCUGAUUGCAGUUUCUUGGGCAACUUCCUUUUGUGUAGCUUUCCCUUUGGCUGUAGGAAACCCUGACCUGCAGAUACCUUCCCGAGCCCCGCAGUGUGUGUUUGGGUACACAACCAAUCCAGGUUACCAGGCUUAUGUGAUUUUGAUUUCUCUCAUUUCUUUCUUCAUACCUUUCCUGGUAAUACUGUAUUCAUUUAUGGGCAUACUCAACACCCUUCGGCACAAUGCCUUGAGGAUCCAUAGCUACCCUGAGGGCAUAUGCUUAAGCCAGGCCAGCAAACUGGGUCUCAUGAGUCUGCAGAGACCCUUCCAGGUGAGCAUUGACAUGGGCUUUAAAACACGUGCCUUCACCACCAUUUUGAUUCUCUUUGCCGUCUUCAUUGUCUGCUGGGCCCCGUUCACCACUUACAGCCUUGUGGCAACGUUCAGCAAGCACUUUUACUAUAAGCACAACUUUUUUGAGAUUAGCACCUGGCUACUCUGGCUCUGCUACCUCAAGUCUGCAUUGAACCCACUGAUCUACUACUGGAGAAUUAAGAAAUUCCAUGACGCUUGCCUGGACAUGAUGCCUAAGUCCUUCAAGUUUUUGCCGCAGCUCCCUGGCCACACAAAGCGACGGAUUCGCCCCAGUGCUGUAUACGUGUGUGGGGAACAUCGGACGGUGGUGUGAAUAUUGGAGCUAUCUGACAUUUUGGGUGAUGGUUGUUGUUUAUUGACUCUGAAUUUUCUUUCCCAUAGCUUCUCCACUACACUCACUCUUUUUUAUAGGGUUUGUGUAUGUGUUUGCAGUGUAAAGAAAGAAUGGUAAUUAUUUAUGGUUUUGUUACCAAGCAUACACAAUAGGAAAGUGAUUACAGAUUUUACCUCCAGGGUUCAAGAAAAGUAGAGAGAUUUUUUUAAAUUGAUUUUGUUUUUGUAGUAGGAAUCAGAAUUAUGCUUAAUUGAGCCUGCAGUUACAUUGAAUUGUAGGUGUUCUGUAUGCUGCUAAGAUAUGCUUAGUUGAUUUUAUCAAUUUUUUUUUUUUCUGGAAGACACUGCUGCUUUUUGCCAUCACAUAGGAGCCAAAAACUCAUACAUCUAAGUUGAUAAAUAUUUAGUUUUAUUAAGAAAAAAAUAACCCAAGGCGGUUAGUGACAUUUUAAAGGUCAUUACUAUUUACUUUGGUGCACUUUAAGAAGCAAUGUACAAAUUAAUUCAGUCAUGUUUUUCAGAAUUGUUUUUAUACAUGACAUGUUAUGCUUUAGGAAACAUGUGCAUUAUCAUUUCUGGGAAGAUAGUUUUUUUAAAAAUGUAUCUGCACAUACAGUUUUAAAGGACAGGUCAUAAAAAUGUAGAAAUGUUUCUAAGCACAAUAGCAACACUUCAGAGCAAUAGGGCAAAAUGGAGACAACACUCUUGCAAAUUUAAAAGGGGAAUGCAGUGAAGAGGGUGGCUAUGGCAGGCUGUGGCAAUUCUUUUUACUCAAGGGCUCUUGCCUGGUAUAGGGAGAAGGUGCUGCCAUUUAUGGACACCUGCCAUAUGCCAGGCACUAUGCACCAUUGUAUCCUCACAGUAUCCUGUGAGGUAGGUAUUAUGUUUUUACCUUUUACAGUUGAAGAAAACAAGUCUCAGAGAGACUAAAGUCCUGACUGAUUUUAGUGGUAGAGCUGGGAUCCAAAAAUCUGUCGGAGUCCUGAGACUGUGCUGUUCUACUGUGCCACACAGACACCUCAUUCAGUUUAGAUAUCUCAUAUUCAAGAGGAAAGUCUGUAUCCUUUAACUUGUUUUAGACUAUAACCUUCUUUUUAAAAAUAGCUUUAUUUUCUUAUUACCAAAAGAAAUAUGAAAUCAUUACAGAAAGUCUGGAAAAUGGAAAAGAAAAGAUAAGCUCACAACCACCUUUUAAAGUAGAACUUAAAACACCUUAGAUAAAUAAGGCUAUAAAGGAAAUAAGGUGAAUUUCCUGAUUUUCAAAACAAGUGACUGACAAUUAUUGAGAGAUACAGCUGUAUCUAGGCCUUGGCCCUAUGGGUUUGGAGGCUUCCAGUUGUUCAUCUGCAUUGGUUCUAAAUGUUCUGGGCAGAACAGCGUUGUUGCCCCAGUGCUUGCCUUAAAAGAGAUGGAGUUUGUGACCAUGUUCAGAGGUGUGUCUCCUAUAAAGAAGGGAAAAUAAAUCCUGGUCUGAGCCUAAAGCAAGUUUCAAUAGGGCAGGUCUUCAGUUUCAUAUGAUUUUUCUUUUACUGACUAUCUGCCCCCCAGGUGCAUCCAGGGCCUGGUCACCACUGGCCCACUUCAUAAAACAGCCCAUAGGGAUAGGGCUUCAGACUGAGCCAUAAGGGCUGAAAGUGUAGCCUCUUGGCUACAUCAUGGGCUAACUAGGUAAGUUAACUAUGGAUUUAUAGCAUCUUUUCAGAAUUUUAGUGCUUUGUGAGCCAGUGGAAAAAAUAAGCCUUUAGUUGUAAACCUAGAGAGUUGGAUCAGAUGAAUCCCUCAGGUCCUGUAUGACUCUAAUGUGCUUUUUUUCCAAUGAGAGUAUGGAUUUUUGAGGAGCCCAGAUGGCUUCAGCAUCACUCUUUGGUCUCCAGUAUUACUUUUUUUACAUGUUACUUCAUUAGCUAUUUCUUAAAACUGAAUGUCUGAAGAGCUCGUGGCACGGUGUCUGGAGUUAGGAUGUUGGAAGAUUGAUGACAUCACGAAAGACCUGGGAAAGUUGCAGCGGUAUUAGAACUCAUUGUCGGGUUAAAGAGCUCUUUUGGGACUCAAGCAUAUUAUUCAACAUGUUGUUUUGGGAUCAUCUUCAGAUGAUAGUCACCUACCUCUUUAAUUUCUAAUUUAUAUUAUUUGCUGGUAAAAUUGUUUUUGUCCAUAGGGAUUGUAUAGGACAUAAGCACUGUAGUAGAUAGUAGUAGCACGUUGAAAUGUAUUAUGCUUUCCAUUUUCACUAUAAACUGGAUUUCAAUAGGAAUAUUUUUGAUUAGACUUCCUCUGAGGAAAGUCAGCAUGGUCUGUAUUCAUCUUACAUAUUGGUAGGUCAUAAGACUCCCGUUGUGGCUGGAGUUGAAACUGAGCUUUGUUUCUUUGUUAUUUUAUGGGCCAUCUUUAGGUACUUCUAGGCUGCUUAGUAGGCAGCGCCCCAUUUGGUGAGAGCUCUGAGUGCCUGCUAAGGUGCUCCGUGUUGGUAAAAGAAGACUUUGAGGGCCCUUUUGAGAAUUCAGCAACAGCGCUGAGCAGCAGUUCUCCUUACACUGGAUAAUCUUGAUGAGAUGACAGUUUACACAUCAUUUUGGACAUUUUUAUUGCAUAUACAUUUUGAAAGCUUUAAAAAACAAGUACUAUGGUGCACCUUCAAUAAAUUAGGUGCAAAAAUCAUGUGUUGCCUAAUCCCUAUAUUCUCUUGAGGGGAAAAAAAUACCACUACUAAUUCUCACUGCUGACUGAAAUAAUCAGAAAUGGGUUUUUUGGUUGUUGAAUUUUUGCUUUUCCUUCUGGCUAGUAAGUAGGAAGCAUAAAAGAGAUGACAAAAUAUUUGUGGUCAAAAGAAAGAGUCAAGAGAAAUCCCAAAUAUUAAUAGUAUGGAGUAGUGUUAUUUAAACUUUAAUAUGUGUUUAGUUAUCCCCAGGGGAGCUAAACAGUACAGAUUCCUGGGCCCUCAGAGGGUCUUCCACUGGGCCCUGGAAUGCACAUUUUUAUUUUGGCAAGUGCUCCGCCUGCUUCUGGCUCAGGUGGUCCCUGAGACACACUUCAAGAAGUGUAGAAGAUACAUCUAUUUAAAUAUUGUCUGUUUUAUCCCAAAAUGUUUGUUUUGUGUUAGAGGCCAUUAUCUUCUAGGCAUGGGUGAUCUGCAUUGAGAGGAAAAUCUACAUAUCAUUGUGCCUCAUUUGCUGCCACCUGUGUUUGUGCUGGAUCUUGCCAGUGUUAGCGUUACUUUCUUUCAACUGGCAAAAUUCUUAUAAAACCAUAAAGUUUCACAGUAGAGCAAAAAGAGUAACUUAAUUAAAAGUCAUGACUUUCAGAAGUCUAAUUAGUCUAAUUUUUUUUUCUCCUAGAGAGAUGUCUUUGUUGUGUGUAAUCCCUGAAGAGUAUGAGGAACAUGUAAAGAUUCAUCUAAUUCCUACUGCUCUGCUUAUGCCAGUUGUGUUCAAUGGAAGCAUGAAGUUACAAAAGAAGGUUGAUUUACAAAAGAAGGCUGUCAUUGAAUCUGUACUUGAUAUUUCCUUCUGAAAUGGAAAGGUAAGAAAGCUGUAGCAAAAUAAAGUAACAUGUUGAAUUAAAAGCAUAUUCACAUGUAUGAAAAUAAUAAGCCCCACUCAAUUUAUCUAUAAUAAAGAGAACCCUUAUGGAGCAAUUUCUUUCUAUCUUAAAUAUCAAGGCACAAUUAGAUUUAAUGCAAAAAAGAAAAAAUAAAUAUUUCAUAGCACUAUCAGUCAAGGUUUAGCCAGAGAAGCAGAAUUAGUAGGGUUUAGCCAGAGAAGCAGAAUUAGUAGAAGAUAUUUAUUGCAAAGAAUUAGCUUACAAGAUUUUAGUGCCGGCUAGGCAAAUCUGAAAUCUGGGGCAGGCCUUCAGGAAAGGAAGAUUAGAGCUCUCAGGCCCAAACUGCAGGUGUUGUCCACAGGUGUAAUUUCUUUUUCCUCACGGAGGCCUCAGCUCUGCUCUUAAGGCCUUUCAAUGGAUUGAAUCAGGCCCACUCAGAUUAUCUAGGCUAAUGUCCCUUAAUUAAUGUGGACUGAUUAUAGACUUUAAUCAUAUCUUCAAAAUACCUUCAUAGCAACACUUAGAUUAGUGUUUGAUGGGGCUAUAGUCUAGCCAAUUGACUCGUCAAAAGACCAUCUCAAUGUUUAUUUCUAAGUUUAAAAUACUAUAUGAAAUAAAAUCUUUCUGUGAUGCUAGAGGUGGUGGUCCAAAAAAUCAAUCACUUAAAUCUUAGUGUUAAAUAAGUGGGAGGUUUAAAAAAUGACCAAGUUAAACUUGUUGCAAAGUAUGGAAUACACAUUGACUGUGUUAUAUUCAAACAUGCAUAAUCACAGGGCACCAACCAUAUUUUUCUUUUUCACUUUAUUUUGAGAAAGGUAGUAGUAAUCAAUUGACCAAUCAAUUGAUGAUAUAUAAACCAAUGUCCUUUCUAUAUAAACUUUCAUUAUCUGUGAUACUUGCCAGAGGUGAUACUUUUCUUCUAAGGAAUUUGAAAGUAUUUAUAAUUAUAACAAUAUUAACUCUAAACAUAAAAAUACAAUAAUAGAAUAAUACUGGGUGCCAUUGUUUGGCCACUUGUGGUCAAAAUACACUUUUAUCUAUUUUAAUCCACAGUAUUUCUACUUUUCUAGCUGUGUUCCCAAGAGGGUAAGUAAAUUUUCAGGUAUAGUUGGGGUUCACAUAGUUGGGAUUCACAUUUAGGAUACUUUUCCCUAUAACAGAUAACGGAACUGAGCCUCUAGUGAGAAGAGCUUAUUAAACAUCAUACUGGGUGAUGAUUAUUCUCCAUGCAUUAGGUAAAAAAUAAUCCUAGCAGUGGAACCUAUAUUCCAAGCUAUGGAUAUUAAUGCUAGAAUUGGGUUGGUUUGGUCUUGGUUUUUAGUCAUUAACUGUAUUUGGAUAAGUCAGAAAUGAGACUUUUAGGCUGACUGGGCCCCUGAGAACGUUGAACACAACCAUGUCUAAUGUCAUAGAAGCUUCAUGGACCUAGCCAAUUGGCAGAAAUUUUGGGGACACAUUGACACUCAGCCACUUUCCUCAGAUCACAUGGAUCCUACAACCCCUUUUGGAAAGGCCUUCACCCUGAUACACAAUUGGGGUUUUAUUAUGUCUGAAGUACUGGGGGUUACCUGUAGUAGCCAAGAAUGAGGGAGAGGAGGUGGAGGUGAUGAAGUCUGGUAGAUCAGGGAAGGCAAGGUGGUGCCUAAAUGUUGGCAGAGGCAGUGUGAGUCUUUCCUGAUCACGCCUCCACCUUGUACCCUACCUUCCUUGCUGGGGCUACCUACCUCAGCCCUCUGGGGAAGAAAAACCCAAAAUAUAAAGAAAAACUGUCUUGAAGACUCCAGCAGUUCUAUAGAAGAAAACUCUGAAGUAGCCAUCCCUGAGAAGUGAUUUCGCCCUCCAGACCGUGAGCCCCUUGAGCCAAUGAAUAGUGUUGACCUCAGUGCUUGUUCACUCAAUAUUAUUAUUAUUACAGACUUUUUUCUAUGAAACAGAAAGCUGAAGCAGAGGUGAAGACCAAUGUUUGGGUGUUCAGAAGAUAUCAGUGUGUGAGGAUCAGAAUAUCAGCAUCUUCAUAUGUAAACUGACCCAGUGGGACUUUCCUGAGUGUCAAUAUUGUCUAUGUAUUAAAUAUGAAUAGAGUAAUGACCCACCAGUUUGGAAUUUAUGAUAAGUAGGCACUGGUUUGUAUGUGAUUAAUCUAUCUAAAUAAAAUUGAUUAAACCAAUUAAUAAUAUAAACAUCAUUGGAGAGUAUAUACCUCUCAAAAAUAACAAAUGGGAUAAGCCAAGAGUGCUGAGCUGGGAUUCAGGAGCCCUUGGAUCCUUGUGCCAGUUUUGAAACACCUGGUGUGUCUCCAGAACUCUUUCAGCCCAUCAUAAAAUGGCCAUAUUUUUAGAUGCCCUUAAAGUCAUGACUGGUAUAGUAAUUAGAAUUGCCCAAUCAAUUGAAUCAUUUGUAUUAAAAAAGGUACCAAAAACUCUGUUACUGUAAUUUGUUAUUGUACAUUUUUGAAAAUAAUGAAACAAAAUUUUUAAAAUUAUGUAAUUUAACUUCUGUGACAGUAGCUCCAUUAGAGGUUUUCAAAUGCGUUAUACUCCAAUAAGCAGAUGAGGAACAGUUUUGGGACAAGAAAAUGACUUGACUAAAUUUUGAUAGCACUUAGGAGGCAAAGCUGGGAUUCAGACCAGACUCACCAGCUCCCAACUUAAGAGUUAUUUCCACUUCACCCUGAGUCAGUGAGAUUUUGCUGCCAGGAAGAGAAAUGUUGAAUAGUGAGGUUGCAAGGUUCAUAAAAUAAAAAAUCCAGUAAUCAAGAAGAGGCCAUGCAAAUGAUCCUAGAAAGUAUCUUAUUUUUUUUUUUAUGAGUUUGCCUACUUUAGCUAGAUAUCUUGUAUCACAGGAAUCAUAUAAUAUUUGCCCUUUUGUGUCUGUCUUAUUUCAUUUAGCAAAAUGCUUUCAGAGUUC